rnacentral:lncRNA from 1 species
GCCCUAAGACUUACGGGUUCCGGCCUGUGGCUCUGCCCACUCCACUACUGGGAGAGACCAGUGCCGAGACUCGACUCCAGCCGCAGGGGGCGCUGUUCCGCUUCCCUGCAGCAGGAAGCGGAGCCUCGUAUCCCUUCUGCGAGUGAGCCACGGGGAAACGUCAUAUCCGGUCCUGCGCGCACUGCACCGGAGCCGGAACUGGUGGGUAAAUGGUGGCGGUUUCUUCAAGACCCCUUCUUGGAUAGAGAACUGGCUCUUCCCUACCUCCUGCGACGCUCUUUACAGGGGAUCACCGGGAAGUUCUACCGCUUGGUGACUUCGGACCGCAGCAUAAGCCUCAAACGCUACUUCAAUGUCCACUCUCACAUGCUCCGGAAGACCCUGUCUUCCCGGCUAUCCAAGGAACUGCGGCAGAAGUACAACGUCCCUUCCGUGCCCAUCUGCAAGGACGACGAGGUCCAGAUAUGAAGAAACUGAAACUCCAGUUAAAUAACUCAGAACAUGGAAUCAAGGAUGACCAUGAUUUCUGAGUACGGGAACUACAGGCAUGUACUGCUGUGCUAGACCUAUGCAGUGCCAGGCAUGUGCAUACUAAGCACACUCUCCGCCACUGCCUCCACUCCCAGCCACAGGUUAGUUUUGUGUUUGUAGUGCUAGGGUUUGAACCCAGGGCCUUGUACAUACUAGGCAAGUGCUCUUGCAUCCCCAGGCCCAUAAUACAGUUUUUAAAUUGUGGGUUUGAAAUGGAUGCAUAGUAGUCUUUUGGAAAUUUCUUUUCUUUCUUUCUUUCUUUCUUUCUUUCUUUCUUUCUCUCUCUCUCUCUCUCUCUCUCUCUCUCUCUCUCUCUCUCUCUCUCUCUCUUUUAACAGGGUUUCCUCUGUGUAGUCCUGGCUGUCCUAUAACUCUAUCUGUAGAUCUGGUUGGCCUUAUACUCAGAAAUCCUCCUGCGUCUGCCUCCUGAGUGCUGGGGUUAAAGGCGUGCACCACCACCUCCCAGCUAUAAAAUUUCCUAAACACAUUUUCUGUUUAGAUGUUGAAAUCUAGACUGUGGCUUGGUGGUAGAAAUCCUAAUGUGUAAAACCCUGGCUUCUGUCUUGAUAUUUAGGGAAUGAUUAUAUUCUACUAAUUUUUAAAACAUGUAUUAUUUAUUUGUGUUAUGCGUAUGGAUACAUGUGUGCCACAAUGCACAUAUGGCGGUCAGAGGACAACUUGUGGGAGUUCUGUCUAGUGUGUGGGAUCCAGUAAUCAAACUUAUGUCUUCAGUCCUGGUGGCAAUGGUCUUGGUGAGCCAUCUUUCCUGCCCUAUAGUUUUCAAUCUCAAGACUUCUUCUGUAAUGAUUAUCCCUGGCUGAGAAGGAUUUUUCUUCUUCCUUAAGUAAAUAAAUAGAGGUGAACAAUCUCUACA